GAUGAACGCUGACAGAAUGCUUAACACAUGCAAGUCGACUCGAGUCUUCGGACUUGGGUGGCGCACGGGUGAGUAACGCGUAAAGAACUUGCCUCUUAGACCGGGACAACAUUUGGAAACGGAUGCUAAUACCGGAUAUUAUGGUUUCUUCGCAUGGGGGAAUCAUGAAAGCUACAUGCGCUAAGAGAGAGCUUUGCGUCCCAUUAGCUCGUUGGUGAGGUAACGGCCCACCAAGGCAAUGAUGGGUAGCCGGCCUGAGAGGGUGAACGGCCACAUUGGGACUGAGACACGGCCCAA
rnacentral:rRNA from 1 species